GUCGAGCGGMAGAAGGGAGCUUGYWCCCGGAUGUUAGCGGCGGACGGGUGAGAAACASRKGGGUAACCUGCCUGUAAGACUGGGAUAACUCCGGGMAACCGGAGCUAAUACCGGAUAGUUCCUUGAACCGCAUGGUUCAAGGAUGAAAGACGGUUUCGGCUGUCACUUACAGAUGGACCCGCGGCGCAUUAGCUAGUUGGUGGGGUAAUGGCUCACCAAGGCGACGAUGCGUAGCCGACCUGAGAGGGUGAUCGGCCACACUGGGACUGAGACACGGCCCAGACUCCUACGGGAGGCAGCAGUAGGGAAUCUUCCGCAAUGGACGAAAGUCUGACGGAGCAACGCCGCGUGAGUGAUGAAGGUUUUCGGAUCGUAAAGCUCUGUUGUUAGGGAAGAACAAGUGCGAGAGUAACUGCUCGCACCUUGACGGUACCUAACCAGAAAGCCACGGCUAACUACGUGCCAGCAGCCGCGGUAAUACGUAGGUGGCAAGCGUUGUCCGGAAUUAUUGGGCGUAAAGGGCUCGCAGGCGGUUUCUUAAGUCUGAUGUGAAAGCCCCCGGCUCAACCGGGGAGGGUCAUUGGAAACUGGGAAACUUGAGUGCAGAAGAGGAGAGUGGAAUUCCACGUGUAGCGGUGAAAUGCGUAGAGAUGUGGAGGAACACCAGUGGCGAAGGCGACUCUCUGGUCUGUAACUGACGCUGAGGAGCGAAAGCGUGGG
rnacentral:rRNA from 1 species